rnacentral:rRNA from 1 species
CUUGAAAUACCACCCUUUAAUGUUUGAUGUUCUAACGUUGACCCGUAAUCCGGGUUGCGGACAGUGUCUGGUGGGUAGUUUGACUGGGGCGGUCUCCUCCUAAAGAGUAACGGAGGAGCACGAAGGUUGGCUAAUCCUGGUCGGACAUCAGGAGGUUAGUGCAAUGGCAUAAGCCAGCUUGACUGCGAGCGUGACGGCGCGAGCAGGUGCGAAAGCAGGUCAUAGUGAUCCGGUGGUUCUGAAUGGAAGGGCCAUCGCUCAACGGAUAAAAGGUACUCCGGGGAUAACAGGCUGAUACCGCCCAAGAGUUCAUAUCGACGGCGGUGUUUGGCACCUCGAUGUCGGCUCAUCACAUCCUGGGGCUGAAGUAGGUCCCAAGGGUAUGGCUGUUCGCCAUUUAAAGUGGUACGCGAGCUGGGUUUAGAACGUCGUGAGACAGUUCGGUCCCUAUCUGCCGUGGGCGCUGGAGAACUGAGGGGGGCUGCUCCUAGUACGAGAGGACCGGAGUGGACGCAUCACUGGUGUUCGGGUUGUCAUGCCAAUGGCACUGCCCGGUAGCUAAAUGCGGAAGAGAUAAGUGCUGAAAGCAUCUAAGCACGAAACUUGCCCCGAGAUGAGUUCUCCCUGACUCCUUGAGAGUCCUGAAGGAACGUUGAAGACGACGACGUUGAUAGGCCGGGUGUGUAAGCGCAGCGAUGCGUUGAGCUAACCGGUACUAAUGAACCGUGAGGCUUAACCUUACAACGCCGAAGCUGUU